GUACUAACAUGAUUUUUUUAGAAUCUUUCAUUUUCAAGCAUCUAAGUCAAUUGCUAGGCGUUAUUGUUUACUUGCCAUGUCGAGAAAGUACAGAAAUGGGAAGCAUAAGUUGUGGACGAGUGCUUUUGGCCCUUCAUUAUCAAGAGAACAACUAAUUGCUAAAGUCCUUGAUGGCAUUCCAGAAGAUCAAUGGUUGUCAUUUAUUGACAAUCAUUUGAAACCAUAGUAUCAGGAGUUAUGUCGGAGGAAUGCUGAAGUCAGACAAAAGCAAAUUGUUCCACACACAAGUGUGGCUAAACUGUUGUCGAGGAAACACAUGAGAUGGUCAUAUACUUUAGGAAGUAGAGCUUGGACGUCCCGUUAGUCAAGGUAAAUUGUACAUUGCAUCUCACAGGAAAAAAGAUGGAUCCUAUGUCAAUGAGGAGGCAAGGUCUAUUGGGGAGAAGUUGACAGAAGAAAUUAGCAAGUGAGCCAAUCCUACAGAAAUUUCAACUAAUGAUCCCCUUGCCAAAGUGUUAGGAUGAGAUCAUUCUGGUCAUGUACGUUGUUCAGGUUUAGGAGGUCUUCACAGUGUUGCAUUUCAAUCAAAUAAAAAUUUUAGUGCCACAGGUUGCAAUUUAUCAAAUUCCGAUUCAGUUAAAAGUUCUCAACUGGAAGAUGUUAAUAGUUUGAAGAUCAAGUUAGCAACUUCUGAGGAAAAUUUCAAGGCAUUACAAAAUGUAAUGCUGACAUACAUACAAAUGAAGGAAGGGCACAUCCCUGCAGAGUUGGGUGCUUUGUUUGAUACUAAUCAAGGGGAUGAAAGGAGCGGAGAAGAUAUGUCAACAUCAGAAAGUGGAUCUUCAUUGGCUAGUUAUCGUUAUUAGAAAUGAUGCACUUAGUUAAACUCUUUUGUACUUAUGUUUGACACUUUGUUCAGUUUAACAUGCAGUUUGUAACUUUUAUUUGUAUGGAUUUUCGAAGAUGUUCAUGGAGA